UACGUAGGGUGCAAGCGUUGUCCGGAAUUAUUGGGCGUAAAGAGCUCGUAGGCGGUUCGUUGCGUCGUGCGUGAAAGACCCCGGCUCAACUGGGGAGGGUCGUGCGAUACGGGCGAACUGGAGGCCAGUAGGGGGAUGCGGAAUUCCGGGUGUAGUGGUGGAAUGCGUAGAGAUCCGGAGGAACACCAGCGGCGAAGGCGGCAUCCUGGACUGGUCCUGACACUCAUGAGCGAAAGCGUGGGGAGCGAUCCGG
rnacentral:rRNA from 1 species